rnacentral:rRNA from 1 species
AACGAACGCUGGCGGCAGGCUUAACACAUGCAAGUCGAACGCCCCGCAAGGGGAGUGGCAGACGGGUGAGUAACGCGUGGGAAUCUACCCAGUUCUACGGAACAACAGUUGGAAACGGCUGCUAAUACCGUAUACGCCCUAAGGGGGAAAGAUUUAUCGGAAUUGGAUGAGCCCGCGUUGGAUUAGCUAGUUGGUGAGGUAAUGGCUCACCAAGGCGACGAUCCAUAGCUGGUCUGAGAGGAUGAUCAGCCACACUGGGACUGAGACACGGCCCAGACUCCUACGGGAGGCAGCAGUGGGGAAUAUUGGACAAUGGGCGCAAGCCUGAUCCAGCCAUGCCGCGUGAGUGAUGAAGGCCUUAGGGUUGUAAAGCUCUUUCAGUAGGGAAGAUAAUGACGGUACCUACAGAAGAAGCCCCGGCUAACUUCGUGCCAGCCGCCGCCGUAAGAC